rnacentral:rRNA from 1 species
GAUCAUGGCUCAGGAUGAACGUUGGCGGCGUGCCUAAUACAUGCAAGUCGAACGGUAAGGCGCCCUUCGGGGUGCUGGAGAGUGGCGGACGGGUGAGUAACACGUAACUGAUCUGCCCUUUAGACUGGGAUAACCUUUGGAAACAGAGGCUAAUACCGGAUGAUAAAUCGGUAGUUAGAGAGCCGGUAGUGAAAGUGAAAGCGCUAGGGGAUGAGGUUGCGGGCCAUCAGCUAGUUGGUGAGGUAAAGGCUCACCGAGGCGAUGACGGCUAGGGGACCUGAGAGGGUGGCCCCCCACACUGGGACUGAGACACGGCCCAGACUCCUACGGGAGGCAGCAGUAAGGGAUAUUGCACAAUGGGCGGAAGCCUGAUGCAGCGACGCCGCGUGGGUGAAGAAGGUUUUCGGAUCGUAAAGCCCUUUUCUAUGUGACGAGGAAGGACGGUAGCAUAGGAAUAAGUGUCGGCUAACUACGUGCCAGCAGCCGCGGUAAAACGUAGGACACGAACGUUAUCCGGAGUUACUGGGCGUAAAGAGCGCGUAGGCGGUUGGUUAAGUUACCUAUGAAAGAUACCGGCUAAACUGGUAUAAGUUGGGUGAAACUGGUCGACUAGAGAGAAAUAGAGGGAAGUAGAAUUCCGGGUGUAGUGGUGAAAUGCGUAGAUAUCCGGAGGAAUACCGGUGGCGAAGGCGGCUUCCUGGAUUUCCACUGACGCUGAUGCGCGAAAGCGUGGGUAGCGAACGGGAUUAGAAACCCCGGUAGUCCACGCCGUAAACGAUGUACAUUAGGCGUUCGGCAACGAUGGUUGUUGA